GUCUUUGCAAGUUGCAAUGGAGGUAGUAUGCUUUUUUCUAGCAAAACAUUCUUACUUUAGAAAGAAAAACAUAUUUUGUAUUACUUACCUAGGUACAUAAUGGCAGCCGUCACACAAAAGGAAGAUGGGGGCACAUGAGAUUUCCUGACCACUUUUUAGUCCAAAGAACAGGAGUAAAAUGUUUAUGAAGUUCUGCUGCUGUAUUGUACUCGGAACCCUAAGUUUCUAUUGCACAUGAGAUUUCCUGACCACUCCUUAGUCCCAAGAACAACAGUAAAAUGUUUCUCAAAUUUUGCUGUUAAAUUGCACCUAGAAGUGUAUUCAUCAAACUGCCUUGUCAACCAUUUGUUGUUUACUCUUAAACUUGUGACAUAUUUCUUCUCAG
rnacentral:lncRNA from 1 species